UGUUUGGGAAUGCAGCUCAAAAUGGGUGGUAGACUCCAUCUAAAGCUAAAUAUCGGGGAGAGACCGAUAGCGAACAAGUACCGUGAGGGAAAGAUGAAAAGCACUUUGGAAAGAGAGUUAAAAGUACGUGAAAUUGUCGAAAGGGAAGCACUUGAAGUCAGCCAUGCUGCUUGAGACUCAGCCUGGCCUUUGGGCNUGGUGUAUUUCUCGGUGGCAAGCCAGCAUUGGUUUGGGUCGUCGGAGAAGCGCAUAGGGAAUGUAGCGUUUCCGGACGUGUUAUAGCCUUAUGCAGGAUACGACGACCUGGAUCAAGGAANGCAGUGUGCCCUCUGGGCGGGUCUUCGGACACCUUCACACUUAGGAUGCUGGCGUAAUGGCUUUAAGUGGCCCGUCUUGAAACACGGACC
rnacentral:rRNA from 1 species